AACAGUUGAUAAGGAUGAGGAAGUUAUGUCCGCUGUUUCAUUUGUCGAGUUAGCUUCUAGCACCGACAAGAAUAAGGGGAAGAAAGUUUACUACAGUGAAGCUCGUGGCAUAUCUCUGACAUCCGAAAGGAUUCGACCGGUACUAAGUCAUAGAUGGCUGUCGGACGAUAUUAUUGAUGCUUAUAUGGGACAUUUGGAGCUGAGCGUUGGUCAUGAUCGUUACCUCUGUCCAGCGUGGAGGUCCAAA